rnacentral:rRNA from 1 species
CAGUCGCGUUGGCCAGGAAUCAACCUUGCUUUUUCUGCUUGGUGUACUUUCUGGUUGAUGGGUCAGCAUCAAUUUUGAUCAGUGGAAAAAGAUCAAGGGAAUGUGGCAUCUUCGGAUGUGUUAUAGCCCUUGGUUGCAUACAUUGGUUGGGAUUGAGGAACUCAGCAUGCCUGCAAAGGCCGGUCUUUGACCACGUUCGUGCUUAGGAUGCUGGCAUAAUGGCUUUAAUCGUACCCGUCUUGAAACACGGACCAAGGAGUCUAACAUAUAUGCGAGUGUU